UCCCAGGGAGGUGUUGGUCAUUCCCUGGUGCCCAGGGAACUCUUGCCAUCACUCUCUCUUCUCCUGUUAAGAUAACACACGUGACAGUGGACCACAUAGCCCGCUACAUCUCACCCAGUGGCAGUAUCGAGUCCGCGCCCAAAGAAUUUGAACUCUAUGGAAUGAGAGACAUCUCAGGGAAGAGAACUCUUUUGGGAACAUUCACCUACGAUCAGAGUGGCGAGUCGACGCAGACAUUUCAGCUGCCUAACCCAACUGACGACAUAUAUCGUGGUGUGGAGAUGCAUGUCCUCAGUAACUGGGGACAAGCGGAAUAUACAUGUCUUUAUCGCUUCCGUGUGCAUGGGAAGAUCGCCUCCCCAUGAAUUUGAAAAUAAACUGUCCCUCUCUCUGUA